GCUACUGGUGGUCAUCGGGGACGCAGAUAUGUGUGUCUCCAUUUUGCAGAUGAGGACAUGGAGGCCUCAAGAGGUUAAGUGACUUGCUCAGCCACACACAGCUGAUGGGAAUGAAACAGACGGAAACGGAGACUCCCCAAGCUGACAGGCGGACUACAGAUCUGGGGGUUCUGCUCCAGGCUCAACACAAGUGGCCUGGGCGAGGGAGGGCCUGGUAGACCAUGACACCCAGCAUCGAGGAAUUCUGCUUCCCCAGCAGGCUCAGAAGGAAGAAGUCUGCUUCAGGGGCCAGGCCUGGUCAAAGACUCCAUCUUCCCUGGAUGGCCAGAGUCAAAUCCUUGCAAAUCCCGUUCACCAUGGAGCAGAGACGAGACCUAUGUUACCCAGGCUGUAUGUGAAUUCCUGGACUCAAGCAAUCCUCCCAUCUCAGCCUCGUGAGUAGUUGGGACAAGUCUCACACCACCAUACCCAGCUUAAUUUAAUUUGAAUUUUAAUAGC
ensembl:lncRNA MGAT3-AS1 MGAT3 antisense RNA 1